AGUGAACGCUGGCGGUAGGCCUAACACAUGCAAGUCGAACGGCAGCACAGGAGAGCUUGCUCUCUGGGUGGCGAGUGGCGGACGGGUGAGGAAUACAUCGGAAUCUACUCUGUCGUGGGGGAUAACGUAGGGAAACUUACGCUAAUACCGCAUACGACCUACGGGUGAAAGCAGGGGACCUUCGGGCCUUGCGCGAUUGAAUGAGCCGAGGUUGAAUUAGCUAGUUGGCGGGGUAAAGGCCCACCAAGGCGACGAUCCGUAGCUGGUCUGAGAGGAUGAUCAGCCACACUGGAACUGAGACACGGUCCAGACUCCUACGGGAGGCAGCAGUGGGGAAUAUUGGACAAUGGGCGCAAGCCUGAUCCAGCCAUACCGCGUGGGUGAAGAAGGCCUUCGGGUUGUAAAGCCCUUUUGUUGGGAAAGAAAUCCAGCUGGCUAAUACCCGGUUGGGAUGACGGUACCCAAAGAAUAAGCACCGGCUAACUUCGUGCCAGCCGCCGCCGUAA
rnacentral:rRNA from 1 species